UACGGAGGGGACUAGCGUUGUUCGAAAUUACUGGGCGUAAAGCGCACGUAGGCGGAUUUGUAAGUCAGGGGUGAAAUCCCGAGGCUCAACCUCGGAACUGCCUUUGAUACUGCAAAUCUCGAGUCCGGAAGAGGUGAGUGGAAUUCCUAGUGUAGAGGUGAAAUUCGUAGAUAUUCGCAAGAACACCAGUGGCGAAGGCGGCUCACUGGUCCGGUUCUGACGCUGAGGCGCGAAAGCGUGGGGAGCAAACAGG
rnacentral:rRNA from 1 species